UGGGGAAUUUUGGACAAUGGGCGAAAGCCUGAUCCAGCAAUGCCGCGUGUGUGAAGAAGGCCUUCGGGUUGUAAAGCACUUUUGUCCGGAAAGAAAUCCUUGGCUCUAAUACAGUCGGGGGAUGACGGUACCGGAAGAAUAAGCACCGGCUAACUACGUGCCAGCAGCCGCGGUAAUACGUAGGGUGCAAGCGUUAAUCGGAAUUACUGGGCGUAAAGCGUGCGCAGGCGGUUUGCUAAGACCGAUGUGAAAUCCCCGGGCUCAACCUGGGAACUGCAUUGGUGACUGGCAGGCUAGAGUAUGGCAGAGGGGGGUAGAAUUCCACGUGUAGCAGUGAAAUGCGUAGAGAUGUGGAGGAAUACCGAUGGCGAAGGCAGCCCCCUGGGCCAAUACUGACGCUCAUGCACGAAAGCGUGGGGAGCAAACAGGAUUAGAUACCCUGGUAGUCCACGCCCUAAAACGAUGUCAACUAGUUGUUGGGGAUUCAUUUCCUAGUAACGUAGCUAACGCGUGAAGUUGACCGCCUGGGGAGUACGGUCGCAAGAUUAAAACUUAAAUG
rnacentral:rRNA from 1 species